UACGUAGGGUGCGAGCGUUGUCCGGAAUUAUUGGGCGUAAAGAGCUUGUAGGUGGUUUGUCGCGUCUGCUGUGAAAAUCCGAGGCUCAACCUCGGACUUGCAGUGGGUACGGGCAGACUAGAGUGUGGUAGGGGGAGACUGGAAUUCCUGGUGUAGCGGUGGAAUGCGCAGAUAUCAGGAGGGACACCGAUGGCGAAGGCAGGUCUCUGGGCCAUUACUGACACUGAGAAGCGAAAGCAUGGGGGAGCGAACAGG
rnacentral:rRNA from 1 species